CGCGGCGUGGAGCAGUGGUAGCUCGUCGGGCUCAUAACCCGAAGGUCGUAGGUUCGAGUCCUGCCGCCGCUACCA
rnacentral:tRNA from 1 species